GGGAAGGCCCAGACAGCCAGGAUGUUGGCUUAGAAGCAGCCAUCAUUUAAAGAAAGCGUAAUAGCUCACUGGUCGAGUCGGCCUGCGCGGAAGAUGUAACGGGGCUAAACCAUGCACCGAAGCUGCGGCAGCGACACUCAGGUGUUGUUGGGUAGGGGAGCGUUCUGUAAGCCUGCGAAGGUGGCCUGUGAGGGUUGCUGGAGGUAUCAGAAGUGCGAAUGCUGACAUAAGUAACGAUAAAGCGGGUGAAAAGCCCGCUCGCCGGAAGACCAAGGGUUCCUGUCCAACGUUAAUCGGGGCAGGGUGAGUCGACCCCUAAGGCGAGGCCGAAAGGCGUAGUCGAUGGGAAACGGGUUAAUAUUCCCGUACUUGGUGUUACUGCGAAGGGGGGACGGAGAAGGCUAUGUUGGCCGGGCGACGGUUGUCCCGGUUUAAGCGUGUAGGUGUGUGUUCCAGGUAAAUCCGGUUCACUUUAACACUGAGGCGUGAUGACGAGGCACUACGGUGCUGAAGCAACAAAUGCCCUGCUUCCAGGAAAAGCCUCUAAGCAUCAGGUAACAUCAAAUCGUACCCCAAACCGACACAGGUGGUCAGGUAGAGAAUACCAAGGCGCUUGAGAGAACUCGGGUGAAGGAACUAGGCAAAAUGGUGCCGUAACUUCGGGAGAAGGCACGCUGACACGUAGGUGAAGUGAUUUACUCAUGGAGCUGAAGUCAGUCGAAGAUACCAGCUGGCUGCAACUGUUUAUUAAAAACACAGCACUGUGCAAACACGAAAGUGGACGUAUACGGUGUGACGCCUGCCCGGUGCCGGAAGGUUAAUUGAUGGGGUCAGCGCAAGCGAAGCUCCUGAUCGAAGCCCCGGUAAACGGCGGCCGUAACUAUAACGGUCCUAAGGUAGCGAAAUUCCUUGUCGGGUAAGUUCCGACCUGCACGAAUGGCGUAAUGAUGGCCAGGCUGUCUCCACCCGAGACUCAGUGAAAUUGAACUCGCUGUGAAGAUGCAGUGUACCCGCGGCAAGACGGAAAGACCCCGUGAACCUUUACUAUAGCUUGACACUGAACAUUGAGCCUUGAUGUGUAGGAUAGGUGGGAGGCUUUGAAGUGUGGACGCCAGUCUGCAUGGAGCCGGCCUUGAAAUACCACCCUUUAAUGUUUGAUGUUCUAACGUGGACCCGUGAUCCGGGUUGCGGACAGUGUCUGGUGGGUAGUUUGACUGGGGCGGUCUCCUCCUAAAGAGUAACGGAGGAGCACGAAGGUUGGCUAAUCCUGGUCGGACAUCAGGAGGUUAGUGCAAUGGCAUAAGCCAGCUUGACUGCGAGCGUGACGGCGCGAGCAGGUGCGAAAGCAGGUCAUAGUGAUCCGGUGGUUCUGAAUGGAAGGGCCAUCGCUCAACGGAUAAAAGGUACUCCGGGGAUAACAGGCUGAUACCGCCCAAGAGUUCAUAUCGACGGCGGUGUUUGGCACCUCGAUGUCGGCUCAUCACAUCCUGGGGCUGAAGUAGGUCCCAAGGGUAUGGCUGUUCGCCAUUUAAAGUGGUACGCGAGCUGGGUUUAGAACGUCGUGAGACAGUUCGGUCCCUAUCUGCCGUGGGCGCUGGAGAACUGAGGGGGGCUGCUCCUAGUACGAGAGGACCGGAGUGGACGCAUCACUGGUGUUCGGGUUGUCAUGCCAAUGGCACUGCCCGGUAGCUAAAUGCGGAAGAGAUAAGUGCUGAAAGCAUCUAAGCACGAAACUUGCCCCGAGAUGAGUUCUCCCUGAGACUUUAGGUCUCCUGAAGGAACGUUGAAGACGACGACGUUGAUAGGCCGGGUGUGUAAGCGCAGCGAUGCGUUGAGCUAACCGGUACUAAUGAACCGUGAGGCUUAACCUUACA
rnacentral:rRNA from 1 species